rnacentral:rRNA from 1 species
UGUCAUCCGAAAGGAAGGGAACCCGGUGAACUGAAACAUCUAAGUAGCCGGAGGAAAAGGAAUCAACAGAGAUACCCUCAGUAGCGGCGAGCGAACGGGGCAGAGCCCAAACCAGAGCGGGAAACCGCUGUGGGGUUGCGGACUGCUAACAAAUGGUUGGACGAAGCAGAACCAGUUGGGAAACUGGGCCAGAGACGGUGAGAGCCCGGUA